CUUUAUUUUACGCUAAGACAAAACAGUCACUACUUUUUUCACAUGGUAUGUUGUUUGAGAUGGCAUUAAAAUGAAAUUCCCAUGAAGUUAAUGAGUAUCCCAAAAAUAUUUAAUUUGUAUAACAUAAUCAAAAGUGACAGACCCAUCUGAAGUAAGCAGAUAGAAUAAGAAUAAGAUACAAUAAGGAGGAGAAUGAAUAGUAGUGAGAAGCUCAAAAAACACCUUAAAGUGGUAUCCCCUAAACCACUUUAAAAAAUAAACAAUAUACGUACAUACAUAAGGUGGAGCUCCUAAAUAGAUGUUCAAUAUAUAUUCUGUAAAUAGAAAUGCAAUACAACAGUGCAAUACAAUUUGAACAAGUUAAAUAUGUUAUUAAAAACAAGAGUGGUAUCACUCACAAGCCUGGAGUCAUAAUCUCAUAUGACUCGAAUGGUAAGCACCUGUGGACCUUUAUAGGAUGUCCAAAUCCUUCUUCUAAUGUGAUUCAUACUUCUUAAUAUCAGAGUGCUCGGAGUUUCCCCACACUUCACAGGCUUGGAGGUGUAUACACGCCAAGUCAAAGUGGUAACUCGUUGUUGCUCUCUCUAUGCUUUGAACCGUGUAUGCGUUCCGGCUCAUGGGAAAAAGAAAAACAUCUGUUUUCCAAAGAGAAAUAAUAUUUUUGUUUGGGAAGCCUUCCAUAGUUUCUAAAUUCUUCUAAAAAAAUAAUUAAUAUGGACAUAAAACACUGUACUAUAAAGAGGGGGCUGGAGUCACACAGCGUCUCCAACCACUUUAAAUUGGCUCAUAAUCAAAACCCUUAAGGACUGUUCUUCAGUGCAAUUAAAUUAGUUAAAAAGGAUUGGAGAGGAGGAGAUUACACUAAAAAGAUUGGAAUGGAGGAAAUGAAAUUCAUCUUUAAUUUUAACACUAUGAUUCCACAAGGGUUAAAUCAAGAUUUUGAAUUAUGUCAUUGUAUGAACUAAUAUAUUACAGUUUUUUAUGCCCAUUCUAUGAACCAAUAUUGUAUUGUGUUUUUAUGUCCAAUCUUAAUGUCAUAACCAACAACAUAUUGAUUUAAUUAAAGGACCACUAUAGGUACCGAGACCACUUCAGCUUAAUGAAGUGGUCUGGGUGCCAGGUCCAGAUAGGAUUAACCCAUUCUUUUAUAAACAUAGCAGUUUCAGAGAAACUGCUAUGUUUAUGAAUGGGUUAAGCCUUCCCCCAAAUCCUCUAGUGGCUGUCUCAUUGACAGCCGCUAGAGGCGCUUGCGUGAUUCUCACUGUGAAAAUCACAGUGAGAGCAAGCAAAUGUCCAUAGGAAAGCAUUGAUAAUGCUUUCCUAUGCGACCGGCUGAAUGCGCGCGCAGCUCUUGCCGCGCGUGCGCAUUCAGCCGACGGGAAGGAACGGAGGAGGAGAGCUCCCCGCCCAGCGCUGGAAAAAGUUAAGUUUUUUCCCCUUUCCCCCUUCCAGAGCCGGGCGGGAGGGGGACCCUGAGGGUGGGGGCACCCUCAGGGCAUUAUAGUGCCAGGAAACUGAGUAUGUUUUCCUGGCACUAUAGUGG